rnacentral:lncRNA from 1 species
AGACUGGAUUUUUGCCUGACUACGGUGCUCAGCCUUCUAGACAAUAGUUAUGCUAAGGGAUUAUCUUUUAACAUUGUGCAGUUAUCUCCUUUGUUUGUUUUCUUUUUUCAUUAUUCACAUAAGCCAAGGGAAAUGAAAAGCAUCUUAUUUCAGGCAAAAAGGCCUGUGAAUGAUUAACUCUGGUUCCAUGCGUUGGGACUUUGCAUAGCAACCCCGUGGCUUGCAACGACAAAAAAGCUCAAGGCAGGAACAGCAGCCCAGGGACCUGAGACCAGCGUUCUCAAAUGAAGAUCUGCUGUUAGAGGAGAAUUCUUCUGUCCUAGCUGUGUCUCUGUGAUCUGUGGAUGAGGGUGGGAAAGCACCACUCAGUCAAUUGGGGUGUACAAAAUGGAGUUUGAGAAGGUCUCACAUCCAGGUUGUUUUGAAGCAAAGUCCAAGCAUUGUAUCACUUCAUCUGCAAAUAUUUCAAUAAGUACCCAAAAGUGGUUGGACUGAGUCCCAUGAAGCCAGAUCACUUCUGACUGCAAGGAGCUUGGAAAAGCAAGUAUCUGGAUCUUUUACCAGCUAAAUUUGGAGAAUUAUUGAUCAAAUUUGGAUCUCUGUGUGCUGUCCUCCAAUUUAAUACUUUCUGUGUUGCUGUUUUAUUUUCUUUCUUCUGGAACCUGGCAAAGUGCGUCAAGCGAUGAGGCUUCCUCUUUGAAGAUCACAGGUGAGAAGAUUAGGUGCUUUCUCAGAAGCCCAGCAACCUGAUGGGAGUGUGGAGUGAGCAAGACCCAAAUCGGAGCUUCAUCCCUGCAUGGUUCAUUUUGCUUAUUUGGCAAACUUGCCCUGCAGAAUCUACUCAAGCUUCCUCAGUUUCUCAAAUCAUUCUUGGGCAACAAAUGAACAAGAAAGAGGACGUCUUAUUAUCUGGUGUCUGGCUUGCUGAUUUAAUAACCUAGGAGACAGUGUUUGAAGAACACAAACUCUAAAGUCCUUCACUUAAAAAAAAAAAAAAACUUUCCCAAAUUGCUUACCAUUUGGAAAAAUUGCCUUACCUUCUUCAGUCAUCUCUGAUGUUGUCAUCCUCAGAGUAAGAAGUACGCAUUCAUAAGGAACCAUAACGUCCUUCAGGAAAUCCAGUACACCCUACAAUUUUACCUAAAACUUUGAUGUUGUUUUUUCUGAGCAUUUUACCUUCUAGGGAAAUGGAUCUCAUGCUGUUUAUCAGUUUCUGAAAGUUGUUAUUAAUCUCCCCUCAUCCCAAAAUUGAAGAACUUUGCUUAAAUCUUAGAAUCAGAACUUUGGCUCCAGUAAUAAAGACUUUUCAAUAUCUUUAUCUGCCAUUGAGUCUUACCUAACGAAAUAAAGCCUCCAAAGUGGGAAUUUGAAAUGUUUUAGAAUCUUUUUUUUUCCUUUUGACAUAGUGAUUGGUGGGAUGCUACAGGCAGUUAGUGGUUAGGGUCCAGAAA